CAAGGCUUAAAAAAAAAGAGAGAGAGUGUUUGAGUUCCUUGCACCUUUAACAAACAAGGUCUCUCACACAGUUAGAUUUGGAAUUCAUGAUGACUAAAUCAUCAGGGAGAAGGGCUAUUGCCUGCAGGAGAGCUCUAGGGAGACCUGUGAGAAAUAAGACACUACAGACAAAGAGCCUGAGCUCUUUCUUUCCCCAAACAGCCUUUCCCCUGGGACUCCCCAUCAGGCUGAGAAGCCUGGGACAGGUUUCAUGUUUCUGCGUGUUAGAGGCAAGAAGUGUGAACACUUACUCUAGAAAUGCAUUAGCGCCUGUAGCCAAAGUAUCAGAGCUAGUGGAAUGAUUCCUGUCUUCACCAAGGCUCUGGAUGAGUGAAGGGAGAUGUAGGAAAGAAAAAGGAGGAAAAGAAACAGACAAGCUGCUAAUGAGUAAAAAGAUUUCUAUAGAACACUUCACUUAGUUAAAGUGCAGUCAUUUGACUCUUGUUUAUUUGUUUAGAAAAUGAUGACCCAUCCAAGAAUCCAUUAGAGAUGAUCAGAUUGGUUCAAAUUCCCUUGUGUUUCGUUGAGUGUGGACAAGCUAGGGAAACUGAAGCACCAUUGGGUGGGAAGGGGCAUAGAAAGAAUGAGUGAAAGCACGAAUUCACAGAAGUGAUGCGUACAUCUUAGAAAAGCACUCAAGAUAAAUGUCUGGCUUGAAGGAUGAAUUUCCGAAUGAAGUGGCCCAAUGUAAUCAGUUUCUCAACCAGCCAAAGAGUGGGUUGGUUUUCUCAACAGAAACAACAGAAACCAGAAGACAACAAACAGAUAUCUUCAAAGAGCUGAAAGAAGUCCGGAGCCUGUGCUCCGCAACGGGAGAGGCCACAACAGUGAGAGGCCUGCAUACCACAGAAAAAAAAAAAAAGAGCUGAAAGAAAAUAACUACCAACCUGGCAAAAGUCUAUGGCCGGAAUUAAGGACCAUAAAACAAGUCUCAAAAAUAUUGAAAUCAUAUCGAGCAUGUUCUCUGUCCUCAGGUCAGUUGUGCUAGAACUCAACUAACAACCGCCAAAAGCUAGAAAGUCUACAUAUGUUUGGAAAUUAAGGCAUACAUUUCCACAUAACUCAUGUUAAAGAAUAAAUCAUAAUGGUCAUUUAAAACUAUUUGGAAUUGAAUAAUCAUAAAAUAUUCCAUAUCCAAACCUGUGUACUAAAGCUUCUGAAAGGGAAAAUUGUAAGUUCUGAAUGAAUUAUACAAAAAAGAACAGCUGAAAAAUAAAUGAACUAAACAUCCAUUUUUAGAAAUUAUAAAAAGAACAGCAAAAUAAACUCAAAGAAAGUAGAUGAAAGACAAGAAUGAAUCAAGAGAUGACCGUAAAGGGAGGAACAAAAAAGCCAAAAUUUGGUUCUCUGAUAAUACUGAUAAAUGACUGAUAGAAGAGAGAGGAUGCAAAUAACUAACAUUAGGAAUGUAAAGAAGCAUCUCUAUUGAUCCUGCAGAUAAUAAAAAAUAAUAGAAGAAUAUUGUUGCUUUAUUUGCUUUUAGGCCUUACUGAUUCUGAAGUGGUGCACCUCAGAUUGGGACUUGAACCCAUGUGCCAGGACUUGAACCCAGCCUAAACCCAGAUUGGGACUUGAACCCAUGCAGCGGGGACUUGAACCCGGCCAAAACCCAUGGUCUUCCAACUGAGAUCACACACCUGGUUUCAGGACUUAAUGUAAUGAAGUUCAGGUUCUUGAUGUCUCAUCGCAGAAAGAAUUCAGUGAGAGACAA